AUGGCCAAGCGACGGCGUGCCGAGGAUGUCGACCGGCUGAGCGACAUGCCGGAGUGCCUCCUCCACGACAUCAUGUCGCGCCUCAAGGCCCGCCAGCUCGUGCAGACCUGCGCGCUGUCGUCGACAUUGCGCCGCCUCUGGCUCACGGUGCCGUGUCUUGACAUCGACGCAGGGGAGUGGGCAUCUGUGGCUGGCCGUCAGGACAAGGUGUGCUUCAAACCACGGUUUAGCGAGGACGACGACGAGGAGGAGGACGAGGAGCUCGACAGGCUCGACGAUUUCGUCGACAGCCUCUUGCUCCGUCGCCGCGCGUGUGCCUCGCCGCUGGGCACCCUGCGGCUGAGCGUGCCAUCUUCCGGGCCCAUAUGGAUGCGCCUCCUCCGCGACCGUUCCUGCUGCAGGUCACACACCAGGUGGAUUCGCCGAGGCCUCCGGUGCUCCCCCGCGACGCUCGACGUCUCCGGCAUGAAGCUGCCACCUCUGACUUCUGGCUCUGGCACACACUGCCUCACCAAGCUGCGCCUCCAUAACGUACGUCUGCACAAGGAUUUCGAGAAGCACCUCAGCUCCGGGCUCCUCGCCCUGCAGGACCUCGAGAUCAGAAGCACGGAGAUGUCGGAAAUCUCAAGAAUCGCGUCCCACACACUCAAGAACCUCAUCGUUGAUAACUCCCCCACAUCCAACGAAGGAACACGGUUGGGAUUCCUCGUCGACGCCCCUCGUCUCGCCUCACUGCACCUCGUCGUUCAGUUUCGUCGCCUCGGCGUUUUUUCUGUCACCGUAUGUGAGGCGGCUUCCCCUAUCCAAGCAUCCAUCCACUUUCUGGACAGACCUAAACUCCGACAAGUUCAUGGGGGUUUCUACUAUUGGCAAGAUGACAAAGAUUUGCUCACAGCUCUCUGCAAACUUCUCCGAUCACUAUCCAACGUCACUUGCUUGGAGUUGUCAGGCUUCCGAGAAAUGGCAGUAGCAGAGCAACAUAUUCCGAAUUAUCCAUCACCGGGUACUCCAUUUCCAGCGGGAUUCUAUCAAACUACGGCGCCAACAAUUGGAGAUGAUUUGCUUCCCCGUCCUAUGUUGCAGGCAAUACUUCAUGAGAAGCAAAACAAAUUUCUACAACUCCGCAACCUAAAAACCUUGGUCCUUGACAAGUGUGAGAUAGGUGACAACAUUCAGACCUUGUGGUCCUUUUUGCAUAAUACGCCCGCCCUUGAGAAGCUUACUCUCAACAACUGUGGGUGCCAAGAGUUCCCAUAUGGUGCUGCUGCUUCUAACAUUUUUGAGAUGGGUUGCACAAUCUCCAACCUUAACUUGGUAGAAAUCAAGUACAACCCAAGAGAUGACCAUGAAGGCCAAGAUACUGCACAAAUGGAGAAGAUCUUGUCCAUGGACGAUCACCUCGUAUGCAUAGCCGCCCUGCCCUGCCGCACUGUCGUCUCUGCCGGUACCGUCGUCGUCGUGGUCCCUCCUGCGGCGGAACGGCGCCGGAGGGCCGCGGCAACCUUGCCCAGUGGCUACCUGCCGCUCGCGGAGGAGCCGCUCCGCCUCCUGCUGCACCGUGCAGAGGGCAGUCGCGGCCACGGCCGACAUGGCCUGUGGAGCCCUGGCGUCGGCCUUGCCACGAUCGGUGUUUGCAGAGCAGUCGCUAAGCAACCACUCCUCGCCGAUCUGGCGAGCUCGCCGUCAAGGAGGCGACCGCGCGCUUUCUUGAUUCCGGGCGACAGCUCCUCCUUGACGGCGAGGCGGUGGCGGCGCGUCAAUGGGAACGACGCGUCGAUGUGA
rnacentral:rRNA from 1 species